UGGGGAAUAUUGCACAAUGGGCGAAAGCCUGAUGCAGCGACGCCGCGUGCGGGAUGAAGGCCUUCGGGUUGUAAACCGCUUUUGAUUGGGAGCAAGCGAGAGUGAGUGUACCUUUCGAAUAAGCACCGGCUAACUACGUGCCAGCAGCCGCGGUAAUACGUAGGGUGCAAGCGUUAUCCGGAAUUAUUGGGCGUAAAGAGCUCGUAGGCGGUUUGUCGCGUCUGGUGUGAAAGUCCAUCGCUUAACGGUGGAUCUGCGCCGGGUACGGGCAGGCUAGAGUGCGACAGGGGAGACUGGAAUUCCCGGUGUAACGGUGGAAUGUGUAGAUAUCGGGAAGAACACCAAUGGCGAAGGCAGGUCUCUGGGUCGUCACUGACGCUGAGGAGCGAAAGCGUGGGGAGCGAACAGGAUUAGAUACCCUGGUAGUCCACGCCGUAAACGGUGGAUGCUGGAUGUGGGG
rnacentral:rRNA from 1 species